AUUGAACGCUGGCGGCAGGCUUAACACAUGCAAGUCGAGCGGUAACAGAUCUAGCUUGCUAGAUGCUGACGAGCGGCGGACGGGUGAGUAACGCGUAGAAAACUGCCCAGUAGUGGGGGAUAGCCCAGAGAAAUUUGGAUUAAUACCGCAUACGCCCUACGGGGGAAAGGGGGCUUCGGCUCUCGCUAUUGGAUGUGUCUGCGUGGGAUUAGCUAGUUGGUGAGGUAAGGGCUCACCAAGGCGACGAUCCCUAGCUGGUCUGAGAGGAUGAUCAGCCACACUGGGACUGAGACACGGCCCAGACUCCUACGGGAGGCAGCAGUGGGGAAUAUUGUACAAUGGGCGCAAGCCUGAUACAGCAAUGCCGCGUGAGUGAAGAAGGCCUUAGGGUUGUAAAACUCUUUCGCUAGGGAAGAUAAUGACGGUACCUAGUAAAGAAGUCCCGCUAACU
rnacentral:rRNA from 1 species